CGGACGGGUGAGUAGCACGUGGAUAACCUACCUAUAAGACUGGGAUAACUUCGGGAAACCGGAGCUAAUACCGGAUAAUAUAUUGAACCGCAUGGUUCAAUAGUGAAAGACGGUUUUGCUGUCACUUAUAGAUGGAUCCGCGCCGCAUUAGCUAGUUGGUAAGGUAACGGCUUACCAAGGCAACGAUGCGUAGCCGACCUGAGAGGGUGAUCGGCCACACUGGAACUGAGACACGGUCCAG
rnacentral:rRNA from 1 species